rnacentral:lncRNA from 1 species
UUUGAAAUGAUUUGAUAAACAAAUGUACUUGAUACUGAGAAAGCUUCUGUCGAGUUGAGUCGAGUUAGGAACCCACAAGAUGUUUAUGAUUUUCAUAUGAGAUAUAUAUUUAUGUUUUGUUCUUUACAAUAGAACCAUGAGUUUAUAUUUGUUGAGGUGGAUUUCCUAACACAUUCUGAGCUGAGUCUAGGAGGAGUAUUUAGCACCAAGCGGGAAAUUUGGAAUUUC